CUUGGAUAGAUGAAAAGCAGAACUGUUUGCUACUUACUGCUUCAAAUAAGAGAAGGCUAUGAGGCAGGGCCACUCUGGGAGUUGUGCUAAGGACAAGGUCACAGCAAACUGGAGCCAGAAGUGGGCAGCUUAUGAAUGGCAAGUGGGGUGGGUUUAGCUACAUCUACCCCAUCCAUGGAACUAAAUUUUUCUGAUGUAAAGCCAAUUGCUGGAGAGAGAUUCACUGGGGAUCACUUCUGUUGAAGGAAUAAGAUGAAUUUGUGAAAAAUUUUGAAACUCUAUUAGAGGAUUUGGAUGCAGUGUGCAGUGUCAGCUAUUGUAACACUUUAUAGUUGAAAUGCACAUAAUAUAUAUUACUGUUAUAAAAUGCCUUGCUGUGAAUAUUAAAUAAAAACAGCCUAGAUAAAGUGGAGAGGUUACUAAACAAGAUAUGUGGAUUUACAGAACAUCAUUCUUGUUCCAAAUAUAAUAAAGAUAUACAAACCAAUAUUUAUUCCUUUAAAUGUUAUAAAUACUUUCUAAGCACC
rnacentral:lncRNA from 1 species